UUAAGCGACUAAGCGUACACGGUGGAUGCCCUGGCAGUCAGAGGCGAUGAAGGACGUGCUAAUCUGCGAAAAGCGUCGGUAAGGUGAUAUGAACCGUUAUAACCGGCGAUGUCCGAAUGGGGAAACCCAGUGUGAUUCGUCACACUAUCGUUAACUGAAUACAUAGGUUAACGAGGCGAACCGGGGGAACUGAAACAUCUAAGUACCCCGAGGAAAAGAAAUCAACCGAGAUUCCCCCAGUAGCGGCGAGCGAACGGGGAGCAGCCCAGAGUCUGAAUCAGCUUGUGUGUUAGUGGAACGGUCUGGAAAGUCCGACGGUACAGGGUGAUAGUCCCGUACACCAAAAUGCACAGGUUGUGAACUCGAAGAGUAGGGCGGGACACGUGGUAUCCUGUCUGAAUAUGGGGGGACCAUCCUCCAAGGCUAAAUACUCCUGACUGACCGAUAGUGAACCAGUACCGUGAGGGAAAGGCGAAAAGAACCCCGGCGAGGGGAGUGAAAAAGAACCUGAAACCGUGUACGUACAAGCAGUGGGAGCACCUUCGGGUGUGACUGCGUACCUUUUGUAUAAUGGGUCAGCGACUUAUAUUCUGUAGCAAGGUUAACCGUAUAGGGGAGCCGCAGGGAAACCGAGUCUUAACUGGGCGUUAAGUUGCAGGGUAUAGACCCGAAACCCGGUGAUCUAGCCAUGGGCAGGUUGAAGGUUGGGUAACACUAACUGGAGGACCGAACCGACUAAUGUUGAAAAAUUAGCGGAUGACUUGUGGCUGGGGGUGAAAGGCCAAUCAAACCGGGAGAUAGCUGGUUCUCCCCGAAAGCUAUUUAGGUAGCGCCUCGUGAACUCAUCUUCGGGGGUAGAGCACUGUUUCGGCUAGGGGGUCAUCCCGACUUACCAACCCGAUGCAAACUACGAAUACCGAAGAAUGUUAUCACGGGAGACACACGGCGGGUGCUAACGUCCGUCGUGAAGAGGGAAACAACCCAGACCGCCAGCUAAGGUCCCAAAGUCAUGGUUAAGUGGGAAACGAUGUGGGAAGGCACAGACAGCCAGGAUGUUGGCUUAGAAGCAGCCAUCAUUUAAAGAAAGCGUAAUAGCUCACUGGUCGAGUCGGCCUGCGCGGAAGAUGUAACGGGGCUAAACCAUGCACCGAAGCUGCGGCAGCGACACUAUGUGUUGUUGGGUAGGGGAGCGUUCUGUAAGCCUGCGAAGGUGACCUGUGAGGGUUGCUGGAGGUAUCAGAAGUGCGAAUGCUGACAUAAGUAACGAUAAAGCGGGUGAAAAGCCCGCUCGCCGGAAGACCAAGGGUUCCUGUCCAACGUUAAUCGGGGCAGGGUGAGUCGACCCCUAAGGCGAGGCCGAAAGGCGUAGUCGAUGGGAAACAGGUUAAUAUUCCUGUACUUGGUGUUACUGCGAAGGGGGGACGGAGAAGGCUAUGUUAGCCGGGCGACGGUUGUCCCGGUUUAAGCAUGUAGGCUGGUUGUCCAGGCAAAUCCGGAUAAUCAAGGCUGAGGUGUGAUGACGAGGCACUACGGUGCUGAAGUAACAAAUGCCCUGCUUCCAGGAAAAGCCUCUAAGCAUCAGGUAACAUCAAAUCGUACCCCAAACCGACACAGGUGGUCAGGUAGAGAAUACCAAGGCGCUUGAGAGAACUCGGGUGAAGGAACUAGGCAAAAUGGUGCCGUAACUUCGGGAGAAGGCACGCUGGUGUGUAGGUGAAGCCCCUGCGGGUGGAGCUGAGACCAGUCGAAGAUACCAGCUGGCUGCAACUGUUUAUUAAAAACACAGCACUGUGCAAACACGAAAGUGGACGUAUACGGUGUGACGCCUGCCCGGUGCCGGAAGGUUAAUUGAUGGGGUUAUCCGUAAGGAGAAGCUCUUGAUCGAAGCCCCGGUAAACGGCGGCCGUAACUAUAACGGUCCUAAGGUAGCGAAAUUCCUUGUCGGGUAAGUUCCGACCUGCACGAAUGGCGUAAUGAUGGCCAGGCUGUCUCCACCCGAGACUCAGUGAAAUUGAACUCGCUGUGAAGAUGCAGUGUACCCGCGGCAAGACGGAAAGACCCCGUGAACCUUUACUAUAGCUUGACACUGAACAUUGAGCCUUGAUGUGUAGGAUAGGUGGGAGGCUUUGAAGCGUGGACGCCAGUCUGCGUGGAGCCAACCUUGAAAUACCACCCUUUAAUGUUUGAUGUUCUAACGUUGGCCCCUGACCGGGGUUGCGGACAGUGUCUGGUGGGUAGUUUGACUGGGGCGGUCUCCUCCCAAAGCGUAACGGAGGAGCACGAAGGUUAGCUAAUCCUGGUCGGACAUCAGGAGGUUAGUGCAAUGGCAUAAGCUAGCUUGACUGCGAGCGUGACGGCGCGAGCAGGUGCGAAAGCAGGUCAUAGUGAUCCGGUGGUUCUGAAUGGAAGGGCCAUCGCUCAACGGAUAAAAGGUACUCCGGGGAUAACAGGCUGAUACCGCCCAAGAGUUCAUAUCGACGGCGGUGUUUGGCACCUCGAUGUCGGCUCAUCACAUCCUGGGGCUGAAGUAGGUCCCAAGGGUAUGGCUGUUCGCCAUUUAAAGUGGUACGCGAGCUGGGUUUAGAACGUCGUGAGACAGUUCGGUCCCUAUCUGCCGUGGGCGCUGGAGAAUUGAGGGGGGCUGCUCCUAGUACGAGAGGACCGGAGUGGACGCAUCACUGGUGUUCGGGUUGUCAUGCCAAUGGCACUGCCCGGUAGCUAAAUGCGGAAGAGAUAAGUGCUGAAAGCAUCUAAGCACGAAACUUGCCCCGAGAUGAGUUCUCCCUGAGACUUUAAGUCUCCUGAAGGAACGUUGAAGACGACGACGUUGAUAGGCCGGGUGUGUAAGCGCAGCGAUGCGUUGAGCUAACCGGUACUAAUGAACCGUGAGGCUUAACCU
rnacentral:rRNA from 1 species